rnacentral:rRNA from 1 species
CAGCACCUCAAGUGGUCAGGAUGAUUAUUGGGCCUAAAGCAUCCGUAGCCGGCGCUGUAAGUUUUCGGUUAAAUCUGUACGCUCAACGUACAGGCUGCCGGGAAUACUGCAGCGCUAGGGAGUGGGAGAGGUAGACGGUACUCGGUAGGAAGGGGUAAAAUCCUUUGAUCUAUUGAUGACCACCUGUGGCGAAGGCGGUCUACCAGAACACGUCCGACGGUGAGGGAUGAAAGCUGGGGGAGCAAACCGAAUUAGAGACCCGAGUAGUCC